ensembl:miRNA oni-mir-10840-2 oni-mir-10840-2
AAUGAGCUCAUUUUGAGAACUUAUUGGGAUAAGUUCUCAAAAUGAGCUCAUUGA